AUUGAACGCUAGCGGGAUGCCUUACACAUGCAAGUCGAACGGAGUGGCGAACGGGUGAGUAAUGUAUCGGAACGUGCCCAGUAGCGGGGGAUAACUAAGCGAAAGCGUAGCUAAUACCGCAUACUAUUGGAGCGGCCGAUAUCGGAUUAGCUAGUGGUUGGGGUAACGGUUCACCAAGGCGACGAUCCGUAGCUGGUUUGAGAGUCCGACCAGCCACACUGGGACUGAUAGACGGCCCAGACUCCGACGGGAGGCAGAAGUGGGGAAUUUGGGACAAUGGGGGAAACCCGGAUCCAGCCAUCCCGCGUGUGCGAUGAAGGCCUUCGGGUUGUAAAGCAAUGUUGGCAGGAAAGCGGUACCUGCAGAAUAAGCACCGGCUAACUACGUGCCAGCAGCCGCGGUAAUUC
rnacentral:rRNA from 1 species